rnacentral:rRNA from 1 species
GACGAACGCUGGCGGCGUGCCUAAUACAUGCAAGUUGAGCGCUGAAGGUUGGUACUUGUACCAACUGGAUGAGCAGCGAACGGGUGAGUAACGCGUGGGGAAUCUGCCUUUGAGCGGGGGACAACAUUUGGAAACGAAUGCUAAUACCGCAUAAAAACUUUAAACACAAGUUUUAAGUUUGAAAGAUGCAAUUGCAUCACUCAAAGAUGAUCCCGCGUUGUAUUAGCUAGUUGGUGAGGUAAAGGCUCACCAAGGCGAUGAUACAUAGCCGACCUGAGAGGGUGAUCGGCCACAUUGGGACUGAGACACGGCCCAAACUCCUACGGGAGGCAGCAGUAGGGAAUCUUCGGCAAUAGACGAAAGUCUGACCGAGCAACGCCGCGGGAGUGAAGAAGGGUGUCGGAUCGUAAAACUCUGUUGGUAGGGAAGAACGUUGGUGAGAGUGGAAAGCUCAUCAAGUGACGGUAACUACCCAGAAAGGGACGGCUAACUACGUG